UGGGGAAUUGUUCACAAUGGGCGCAAGCCUGAUGACGCAACGCCGCGUGGGGGAUGAAGGUCUUCGGAUCGUAAACCCCUGUCGAAUGGGACGAAUAGCCCGCGAAUUAAUACCUCGUGGGAAUGACGGUACCGUUAAAGGAAGCCACGGCUAACUCUGUGCCAGCAGCCGCGGUAAUACAGAGGUGGCAAGCGUUGUUCGGAAUUACUGGGCGUAAAGGGCGCGUAGGCGGCCAUCUAAGUCAGACGUGAAAUCCCCCGGCUCAACCUGGGAACUGCGUCUGAUACUGGGAGGCUAGAGUUUGGGAGAGGGAUGUAGAAUUCCAGGUGUAGCGGUGAAAUGCGUAGAUAUCUGGAGGAAUACCGGUGGCGAAGGCGGCAUCCUGGACCAAUACUGACGCUGAGGCGCGAAAGCCAGGGGANCAAACGGGAUUAGAUACCCAAGUAGUCCCUGAGCGGGCUGGCAAGGCGCAU
rnacentral:rRNA from 1 species